AGACUAUUGAUUAUGUAUUAGUUUAACCUAUAUCUGUAACACGCUUUUUCCUCAUGGUGAGCAAGUUUGGAGUGUUAACUGCUUGCACCAGGGCUGUGUGCACAUCUCUUUAUUAAAUCAUACCUGCUUUAUAUCCUAACAGGCUAUAGAGUUUGUUUCCAGAGCAGUCUGGAUAGAGAAUAUACAACAGUGAUUAAGCUAUUAUUCAAUGACAAAGAAUGAAAGCUCACUGACACCUGGCCUAAAAAGGCAAACAUCUUGGUUAGAAAGCACUUGAGUAAACAAUAAGAGAACUCUUCUUUACACUGUUUUAUUCAAAACCAAAUGAUCCAAAUGUCAUCACUUCACUUGCCUCUUUUCUGAUCUACUCUCUGUUCUUUUCUCACCGGACUAAAGCUCCUUUCACAGCUCCCAAACGUAGCAGUAGAGAGGCAUUUACAUAGUCUGGAAGUACUUUCCAUAUUUCUUUAUCACUCAUUGCCUACUUAGUGUCACUUACUGUAUUGUUUUGAAAUGUACAUGGGAAAAAGAUAGAGCUGAACGCUGUAGGUUCCAUUUGUGUAGCCUCCAGUAGCAGAUGUGCCUUCAUUACAGACAUUUGCCCAGGCACUUACAGAGUUUUGUUCUCUGGGGAUAUCCAGAAUCCACCUGGAUGCCUGUCAGUGUGAGCUGCUGUAGGGAACCCGCUUCAGCAGGGAGGUUGGACAUGACUAUCCCCAGAGGUCCCUUCUGACACCUAUAAUUCUGUAAUUCAUUAAUCUUUCCAAGCUCCUGAGUUCUGAGAAAACUGCUGAGAAGUGCAUUACAAGCUUCAAUUUAAAGUGAUUCAGCUCUAGAGCCCACGUGUGUAACUGUCAGGGCCCUAACGAGCCCCGGCUGCUCCAACGAGGCAAUGACUCCCAGGUGCCUCUUGGCCCCGGCCAUCCACCCACAGCUGCACCCAGUCGGGAGCCCAGGGCAGGGCCCGCCCCAAAGCCUCUUAAGCUCCGCCGGAGGCUGCUAGGAGCAACCUGGAGGUUCUUAGCCUGCAGGAGUGGGCUUGGUUCCUUUGUCCUGUCCUGGCGCUGUGGGGGUUGAAAAGCAGCGUGAGGGUCUGCUUUUGAAACGGAACUUUGGGGUUUCGUUUAAUGUUCUCUGUUGUGUUGUUUCAGGCUGCUGUGAGCCCUCUCGUGGUAAGGAUCAGCACAAACCGGUGAGCACUUCUAGCAGUGGGGCCGUGGAGUGCUCGGGAGCUGUUAUGGGCUCCCCGUCUGCAGCAGGAGCCUGCCGGGCUGUCACCCUGCUCUUUGUAGGUGCUAUUGCCAGGCUGCCCUGGCUGUUUGGAGCCGGUAUAGUGUUGUUGCCCGGCUCCCAUUGCAUUUUUUGGGGGGGUGCUGCUCAGUUCCCCGAAUCCAAUCACAGCCCUGGGUGCUCUCAGCCCCAAAGGGUUCUUCAGUGGGUGCUUCAAUUCUUCCUGUUGUCACUGGUGGGUGUGAGUGGGGUGAGACCCUAUUCCUCCAGCCUUGGUGCUGCUGGGAGUAAGAAAUAACACAAAUGGCUGCUGAACCAUCGGUGUUCUCCUAUUGCAGGCUGAAUGAGGGCUGCAGCGCGGCCUCUUGUCAGCCUGAACUGGUGAGAGUUGAGAGUCCCUAAGUAAGUUCUUGCUUUUUAGGGCUUGUGUAGGGUCACUGCCACAUGGCUUUUGAGGUCUGCCAGGAGGCUGCUGCCCAGCUGCCUUGAGACUGAGCACGGCCCUGGGGUUAGUGCUCAUGGUAGACUCAAACCACUAUGUCAGCAGUCAGGUAAGCAAGUCUGCCAGGUGUGUGUGUUCCAGAAGGCUCCUGCAGUGUCUUGAAGGUAAAAUGUCUGAAAGAGGCUCCUUCAUCCACCAUGAGGAGAGGGGUGCUUCUGGAGCUUGCCCUCCCUGUUGAGGAAGGGUGGGUUGGGGAUGUAAAGACUAGGGGCGGCCUCAAGUGCGGCAGAGUUCAGGAUCUCGUGUGGAAGAUGUAGAGCAAUAACUAGGACUGAAAUACUGGGCUUUGAGGGAGACGUCUUUGUCCUCUUAAAGGACCCAUGUGGAGGUGUCUCCAUUGUCAGAGCAUUGGAAGGGGUCCCAUGAGCAGUUGUUGAUACUGGAGUGUUACAUCCUCCAUGCUCAGGAGCACUGCAUUCCAAAGGGUACGAAGCUGAGCAGAAUAACAGGAGAACUGCGGGGUGAACGAGGAGCUUGCAGAUAAACUCUAAGGGGAGAAUGUAGAGAUGGGAUGAGGAAGGCUAAGGCUCGCUUAGUGCCCCCUUUGGGAGCGGGAUCAGGGCUAACAGGAAUUUGAAUGUUUCUCAACAGCAAAAAGGAGAUUAGGAAACACAUGGGCCUCUGCUUUACAAGGUGAGGAUGUGAGAAAGAGGAGCAGCCAAAUGCAUUUUUUACUUCAGUGGUUGCUGCUGAGAUUGCUCCUUGGGAAUCCCAGAGGAAGGAGUCUUUGAGGAAGGACAACUGAGCCCUAAUGGAAUAUGCCUGUGAGUACUGAGAGAGCUGGCAGAGGUGAUUCCCAAAUAGCUCUCUAUCACAUUGUCUAUGAUCUUUUUUGUAGGAAAGAUGCCUGAGAACUGGAAUACAGCCAACAUCACUGCAGUCUUCAGAAGGGGCAAGAAGGAUAGACUGUGCAACUGUAGGCCAGUUGGCCUCACAUCCAUCCCCAGAAAGGUGACUGAACAACCUGUGUGUGGAGUCUGCCACCCUGGUGGCCCCCAGAGGAUGUUCAUGGAGCUCUUCCUACAGUUUCAGGGCUGGAGUGAGGAUCUUAGCAAGCAACUGUGGUGCCUCUGUGGAGUGAGGUGAGGUCCAGUGCUCCAGAACUGUUUGCCUCCCUGCAGUCCCAGUGCAGCUGGUGUCCCAAGAAAAAGGUCAUGAUCCUGGGUUGGGAGCUUCAGUGCUGGACUCCGUAGAUGUUGGUUCUGCUGCUUCUACAGGUUCUGUCAUGGCCACUGGAGAGCAGAGUCCAGUGCUGCCCACCACUUCCUUUGUGAGGAGCUGUAAGCCAGUGUGAAGCCUUCCCUCGGCCUCCUCUGCUUUGGGCUGAAUGAACUGUGGGACCUGAGCAGCAUAUAGAGGGCUGCUGGACAAGAUUUAUUAUAUCUUGUAUCAUAGAAGCACAAAGGUGGUUGGAAAAGGUCACUAAGAUCAUCUAACCCAACCAUCAACCUGUCAUGGUGUUGUAGUGUUGCUGUCAAUAUUCCACAUCAUAACAUCAUGUGCAAUAUGGAUCAUUAAAAGGUUCAUACUCCAGUUCUGUGGAAUAACAACGUCCUGAAUACUUAGCUCUUAGAAGAAAGCUAUGUAUCCCAGAGGACUUCGCGGCCAGAGAUAAGUCACAGGAGGGGGACAUAUAUAAUCUCACUCCCAGGCUGGAGUUUUCUCUCUCACGGAGAGAUGUUGCCUAGUGUUCACAGUAGGCCUCUCGGUUUUCGGGGGCUCUCUCUCUCUGUUUUGUUUAAUUUGUUUA